UGUCCCAUGGUGUAAUGGUAACACUACAGUUUCUGGUCCUGUCAUUGAAGGUUCGAGUCCUUCUGGGACAA
rnacentral:tRNA from 1 species